rnacentral:rRNA from 1 species
UACAGAGGUGGCAAGCGUUGUUCGGAAUUACUGGGCGUAAAGGGCGAGUAGGUGGCCAUCUAAGUCAGGGGUGAAAUCCUGGAGCUCAACUCCAGAACUGCCUUUGAUACUGGCGACCUUGAGUCCGGGAGAGGUGAGUGGAACUGCGAGUGUAGAGGUGAAAUUCGUAGAUAUUCGCAAGAACACCAGUGGCGAAGGCGGCUCACUGGCCCGGUACUGACGCUGAGGUGCGAAAGCGUGGGGAGCAAACAGG